GGGAGGGGAUUAGUGGCGAACGGGUGAGUAACACGUGGGCAAUCUGCCCUUCACUCUGGGACAAGCCCUGGAAACGGGGUCUAAUACCGGAUACGACACGGGGUCGCAUGACCUCCGUGUGGAAAGCUCCGGCGGUGAAGGAUGAGCCCGCGGCCUAUCAGCUUGUUGGUGGGGUGAUGGCCUACCAAGGCGACGACGGGUAGCCGGCCUGAGAGGGCGACCGGCCACACUGGGACUGAGACACGGCCCAGACUCCUACGGGAGGCAGCAGUGGGGAAUAUUGCACAAUGGGCGAAAGCCUGAUGCAGCGACGCCGCGUGAGGGAUGACGGCCUUCGGGUUGUAAACCUCUUUCAGCAGGGAAGAAGCGAGAGUGACGGUACCUGCAGAAGAAGCGCCGGCUAACUACGUGCCAGCAGCCGCGGUAAUACGUAGGGCGCAAGCGUUGUCCGGAAUUAUUGGGCGUAAAGAGCUCGUAGGCGGCUUGUCGCGUCGGAUGUGAAAGCCCGGGGCUUAACCCCGGGUCUGCAUUCGAUACGGGCAGGCUAGAGUUCGGUAGGGGAGAUCGGAAUUCCUGGUGUAGCGGUGAAAUGCGCAGAUAUCAGGAGGAACACCGGUGGCGAAGGCGGAUCUCUGGGCCGAUACUGACGCUGAGGAGCGAAAGCGU
rnacentral:rRNA from 1 species